rnacentral:rRNA from 1 species
UACGGGGGGGGCAAGCGUUGUCCGGAUUUACUGGGCGUAAAGCGCGCGCAGGCGGACUGAUCAGUCUGGGGUGAAAUCUCACGGCUCAACUGUGAGCGGUCCCUGGAUACUGUCAGUCUUGAGAUGUCUAGAGGAGAGCGGAAUUCCCGGUGUAGUGGUGGAAUGCGUAGAUAUCGGGAAGAACACCAGUGGCGAAAGCGGCUCUCUGGGGACCAUCUGACGCUGAGGCGCGAAAGCGUGGGGAGCGAACCGG